rnacentral:rRNA from 1 species
CCAAUAGCGUAUAUUAAAGUUGUUGCAGUUAAAAAGCUCGUAGUUGAAUUUCGGGAUCAAUAUGUUGGUCGUGCCUUGGUACGUACUAGUUUAUUGGUUUCUUCCUUCUGACGAACCAUGAUGUCAUUAAUUUGGUGUCUUGGGGAAUCAGGACUGUUACUUUGAAAAAAUUAGAGUGUUUAAAGCAGGCUCACGCUUGAAUACAUUAGCAUGGAAUAAUGAAAUAGGACGUUUGAUUCUAUUUUGUUGGUUUCUAGGAUCGACGUAAUGAUUAAUAGGGAUAGUUGGGGGCAUUAGUAUUCAAUUGUCAGAGGUGAAAUUCUUGGAUUUAUUGAAGACUAACUGCUGCGAAAGCAUUUGCCAAGGAUGUUUUCAUUAAUCAAGAACGAAAGUUAGGGGAUCGAAGACGAUCAGAUACCGUCGUAGUCUUAACCAUAAACUAUGCCGACUAGGGAUCGGAUGAUGUUAAUUUUUUAAUGACUCAUUCGGCGCCUUACG